rfam:Asian citrus Psyllid, Diaphorina citri - Florida Strain, whole genome shotgun sequence.
GUCUAGUUAGCCUGGUUGGUAGUGCGUCUGCCUUGUAAGCGCUAGGCCGCGGGUUCGAUUCCCGCUUAGGGCG